AGUUCGAUCAUGGCUCAGAUUGAACGCUGGCAGGAUGCUUUACACAUACCGCAAGUCGAACGGCAGCACGGACUUCGGUCUGGUGGCGAGUGGCGAACGGGUGAGUAAUGUAUCGGAACGUGCCUAGUAGCGGGGGAUAACUACGCGGCAGCAGCUAAUACCGCAUACGCCCUUCGGGGGAAACGGGGGACCUUCGGGCCUCGCACUAUUAGAGCGGCCGAUAUCGGAUUAGCUAGUUGGUGGGGUAACGGCUCGCAAGGCGACGAUCCGUAGCUGGUUUGGAGGACGACCAGCCACACUGGGACUGAGGCACGGCCCAGACUCCUACGGGAGGCAGCAGUGGGGAAUUUGGACAAUGGGGGAAACCCUGAUCCAGCCAUCCCGCGUGUGCGAUGACUUCGGGUUGUAAAGCACUUUUGGCAGGAAAGAAACGGCACGGGAUAAUGCCCCGUGCAACUGACAGUACCUGCAGAAUAAGCACCGGCUAACUACGUGCCAGUAGCCAUGGUAAUACGUAGAAUUGCAAGCGUUAAUCGGAAUUACUGGGCGUAAAGCGUGCGCAGGCGGUUCGGAAGAAGAUGUAGAAAUCCCCAGAACACUUUGGAACUGCAUUUUUAACUACCGAGCUAGAGUGUGUCAGGAGGUGGAAUUCCGCGUGUAGCAGUGAAAUGCGUGAAUAUGCGGAGAACACCGAUGGCGAAGGCAGCCUCCUGGGAUAACACUGACGCUCAUGCACGAAAGCGUGGGAGCAAACAGGAUUGCAAGAUACCCUGGUAGUCCGCGCCCUAAACGAUGUCAACUAGCUGUUGGGGCCUUUGGGCCUUGGUAGCGCAACUAACGCGUGAAGUUGACCGCCUGGGAAAUUACGGUCGCAAGAUUAAAACUCAAGAGAUUGACUGGGGACCCGCACAAGCGGUGGAUGAUGUGGAUUAAUUCGAUGCAACGCGAAAAACCUUACCUACCCGCGACAUGUCUGAAUCCCAGAGGUGGGAGUGCUCGCAAGAGAACCGGAACACAGGUGCCAUGGCUCGUCGUCAACUCGUGUCGUGGAGAUGUUGGGUUAAGUCCCGCAACGAGCGCAACCCUUGUCAUUAGUUGCCACGAAAGAACGCUCUAAUGAGACUGCCGGUGACAAACCGGAGGAAGGAAGAAUUAGAGGAUGACGUCAAGUCCUCAUGGCCCUUAUGGGUAGGGACUACACGUCAUACAAUGGUCGGGACAGAAGGUCGCCAACCCGCGAGGAGGAGCCGAUGCAGGAAACCCGAUCGUAGUCCGGAUCGCAGUCUGCAACUCGGCUGCGUGAAGUCGGAAUCGCUAGUAAUCGCCGGAUCAGCAUGUCGCAGUGAAUACGUUCGGUCUUCCUGCACCGCCCGUCACCAUGGGAGUGGGUUUUACCAGAAGUAAGUUGACCUGGCCGUAAGGGCGAUUACCACAGUAGGACCAUGACUGGGUGAAGUCGUAACAAGGUAG
rnacentral:rRNA from 1 species